UGUGUUGAAUUUUUCUCCUUCCUGAGUGUCCAUGUUGUUGCAGUCCCAGUUGUUGUUGGAUCCGCCCUGGGGUCCUGCGCAAUCCUUCAUAAAAAUGCUGGGAUUUUUUUACAAAAAGCCUGAACAACCCUCCCCUGUAGAAUAUUUUGACCCGCCGGCAGCUUCUAGUCAUGGCCCACCGAAUUCUAGCAGCAGUAAAUCGCUAGCCAGCGGCAAGGUAGGCAAGAAAAGAUGGAAUGGGAAGAUGAGCUGUCCACCGCAGAAAACGAUGGGAGAAAACGUCGACUGGAAUCAAAUACUUUGACGUGCUGCGGAAUAUGGUCACCAGUCAGUGGGAUGAGUGAGGUAUUUCACCAAGCAUUUUUUGGAAGUGAUACUAGGAUGGGGAAGACAUUGGCAGUUGGACUGCGCAUGCGCGAACUGAGCCAGCAACCAUGUGCUCGGCACGAAGACUGAUUUCGUGUUGACAUCGUGGAAACCUCGCAAAAUGUUCGCAGGCCGUCAGUUUCGGACGGACCAUAAUUAUCAUCGCUUCCAAUUCGUG